CGGUAGAACCUUAGUGGCGAACGGGUGAGUAACGCGUAGGCAACCUGCCCCCCGGACUUGGGACAACACCCCGAAAGGGGUGGCUAAUACCGGAUACGAAGAUAAUACCGCAUGGUGUAUUUUGAAAGAUGGCCUCUACAGGUAAGCUAGUCGCCGGGGGAUGGGCCUGCGUCCGAUUAGCUGGUUGGUGGGGUAACGGCCCACCAAGGCGACGAUCGGUAGCCGGUCUGAGAGGAUGAACGGCCACAUUGGGACUGAGACACGGCCCAGACUCCUACGGGAGGCAGCAGUGGGGAAUCUUCCGCAAUGGGCGCAAGCCUGACGGAGCAACGCCGCGUGAGUGAGGAAGUUUUUCGGAAAACCGUAAAGCUCUGUUGUACAUGACGAACGUGCGAUCUGUCAACAACGGAUGGCAGUGACGGUAGUGUACGAGGAAGCCACGGCUAACUACGUGCCAGCAGCCGC
rnacentral:rRNA from 1 species